ensembl:misc_RNA 7SK 7SK RNA
GGUCAAUGAGGGUGAUAAGGCUGUGACAAUGGUUAUGCAAUGACUACCAGAGUACAUUCACUCAUAACACUAUCUAGGAGUGGGCCUCUUCCCUUCCUUACUGACCAUGUGGGUCCUUCCCAAAAGCUACAUAUCCUAUCAAAAAGGAUGACCUUUCUCAUAGAGGAUCUUUGUUUCCCCUAGGGUAUAUGAGUAACUGUGUUCCCUGCUAGAACUUCCAAAGAAGGUCUCAAAGUAUUGCUAGCAUGAGGAUGUAUGAUUCUAAAAUAUUCUUCAGUAAAGUCUGUUCAGUGGUUUUCUGUCCUAUAUAGAGUAAAAUGUAAAC